rnacentral:lncRNA from 10 species
CUAAAAAUGAAAACAGUGAAGACCUUAAUUUGUAGCCACUACAUAUAUAGCUUAAGUAUCCCGGCUUACGGGAGAGAAGAUCCCUUUAAAAAAAAAAUUUAAAUGGAAAAAUAUCCCAACCAACUCCUCUCCAAAAAGGUAAGUACUACAGAAGAUAAUAAAAAGCUAAGUCACUGAACUUCUUCAGUUUCAUUCAUUUUUUUAUGUUUACAAUGGGACUUCCUUGAGCAGAAGGAACCAAUCCUUGAAAACAAUCAAUUCCUGAUCACUCUUUUCCAAUCCUGCACUAAUGCACUGUCUCACACAAACCGAAAAUAUGUUCUAAGUCAAAAUGUGUCCAGGGGUCGGGCGCGGUGCCUCACGCCUGUAAUCCCAGCACUUUGGGAGGCCGAGGCGGGUGGAUCAAGAGGUCAGGAAAUCGAGACCAUCCUGGCCAACAUGGUGAAACUCUGUCUCUACUGAAAAUGCAAAAACUAGCCAGGCAUGGUGGCGUGCGCCUAUAGUCCCAGCUACUCAGGAGGCUGAGGCAGGAGAAUCUCUUGAACCCAGGAGGUGGAGGUUGCAGUGAGCCAUAUCGUGCCACUGCACUCCAGCCUGGGAAACAGAGCGAGACUGCAUCUCAAAAAAAAAAAAAAUGUGCCCAGGGUCCAUUAUAGGCCUGCACUCGUAGAAAUACGAGGGUUGAGAUUUCAAAUGCUCAUCUGCAGGGGAGACAACAUAUCACACGUGUCCAGGUUACAGUCAGAUAUGUCAUUCUGGAACACUAUGCGGGUGCUCAAAUACAGACUCCUAAAUUGCUCUGACAACAGUAGCAAUUCUAGUCCCUUAAAUGGCUUGUAGUCAUCGUGAAGGCUGAAGACCCACUUCCCCGGUCCUUCUGAUUGUAAACCAAUGUUUUCCUAAAAUUCCCUAGCAUUAAUUAUUUUAAUGGUUUGUGGAAUUAUUUAAUGGUUUGUGGAAGCACUUGGGAAACAGGCUGACAAUGGAAACUUUGUAUUUGAAAAAUAUUGUAAUAUCUGUAGAGGUUCUACUCAGGAAUACUUUCCAUGCUUCCAUACUUUCUCUGAUUUAGGAGAAAGUUUCUCAAGAGAAUGAUACUCUCAACAGAAACGGAAAGUUUCUCAACAGAAAGCCUCCAUUAUUUUUGUGGUAGGUAUGAGAAGAAUAGGUUGAAAUAAAAGGGGAGAUGAAAACUUAAGGACUUUAAGUUUUGUUUGAAAAGAAGAUCAUAAUUUAAGUCUGGGUUCUAAACUACGGCCGUUAAAAAAAAAAGAAAAAAAAAUCAAGAAAAUUCCACUCUUUAACUUGGGGGAAAUUUUUGUGAGGUUCUCUUCGUGGGAAGCAGGGAUUCGGCCAUGGAGGGCAAGUGACUUGCUGAUUUCAGUACCCAGAAGGUUUUUUUAAAUAUGAAAUUUGUCCACUAUGAGAUGAAUGUGUAUAUACUACCCAUUCUCUUCUUGAAGUGUCAAUGAAAAGUCGGAUUUUAAAAGCUAAUGGUAUCAGUGCUGCAAAGGCAGGCCAAUUACUGCCAGUGCCAGACAACUUUUUUCUUUGUUUAUUUUUAAUCUUAUUUCUUUGCUUCUUUUUGAUAAAAGAUAUACCUAAAGAGGCACCUACACAUAACCCUGGCACCGUCCGCCGCCCCAAGAACCUUCCUGCUUUACCAAUGGCCUGGGAGUUGGCAAACACGCUAACAAAAAAAAAAACCAAAAAAACAAAAAAAAAAAAACAAAACGGGCUUUCGCCUCAACCUCAUAGUUCCUCCCCGUCUGCAACCACCGGUCUUCACCGGAUUCACAGUCGGAACCGCGAGCAAAGACACCUAGUAGAGCCGGCCGAUUCCUAGGUCCUCCGGCCAGGAGGCGCUGCGGGCCAGUCUCCGGGGGCCACCGCAGCCCGCGCGCCCAGCACCCCCACCCUCACGGCAGAGCCCAGCCCAGCCCCGCGGCGGAGCUCCGAGUUCUGCGCCGCCCGCCGGGGUUACUCCCGGUCAUUCCACGGCACCACCUCGGCCCAGCUUCCCCAUCUGCGCCCAGGCAGAAGCUGCCCCGAGAGACCAGCAGCAACGGUCUGGAAGAUGGGGCUGCAGGGAACGUGGGAGAGGGAGGAUUGGGCACCCCACCUCCGGGUCUCCGCAGGCUCUCCUAAGUCUUGUUUUUAAAAGAAACAAAACUCGGCCGCGCGCGGUGGCUCACGCCUAUAAUCCCAGCACUUGGGGAGGCCGAGGCCGGUGGAUCACCUGAGGUCGAGGGUUCGAGACCAGCCUGGCCAACAAGUUGAAACCCCGUCUCUACUAAAAAUACAAAAAUUAGCUGGAUGUGGUGACGCGCCUGUAAUCCCAGCUACUCAGGAGGCUGAGGCAGGAGAAUCGCUUGAACCCGGGAGGCGGAGGUUGCAGUGAGCGGAGAUCGUUCCAUUGCACUCCAGCCUGGGCGACAGACCGAGACUUAAAGGAAAGAAAAAAAAGAAAAAGAAAAGGAAACAAAACUCGUCCGCGCUCUGCGCCAGGGACACCAGCUCAGCUGAGCGCACGGAGACUGUAGGCAGGACCUCCCUACCCCUCAGGUCAAACAAAGACCCAAGGCCUCUAGUGAGCAAUAGCACCACGGACCGUUUGGGACACCUCCAACUCGAGUUCCCGGAUUCACAGUCCGGGACUGUGCCGCUCCAGUCCCGGGGAGCAUAUAGCCAAUUCCCAGGUCAGAACAGACCAGCUUCUUAAGAACCGAGUGAAGACUCAGUGCUGGCAUUUGUCUCCGUAGGUACUGGCCGACCUGCAACCAGAAGGGUUUCUAGCCAGCUCAGGGCCCUCCGAACAAAGCAGCGCUCGGUGCCGGACCUGCAGCUCUCCCCACCCGGCAGCAGCGCCCUCAGCACGCCCGGGAACCCCCGACCCCUCUGAGCCCGGGGUACUGCGCCCGGGUCUCCACGCCCAGAGAUGCUCCCCGGUCUCCACCGUCGGGCAAGCCCCAAGCGCAGCAGCGCAGAGUCCUGGGGUCACCAGAGCUCGUACUAGGACAUCGUCUCCCCAUUUAACACCGCCUCCGGUCCCAUCUGAGUUGCAAGUGGUGGGGAUGUGGGGCUCCGGAUCAAAGUCCCCGAAACCGAGCACUUCCCGAAGCCUCCUUGGCCUCGAAACAAAACAAUAACGCCCAACUCCAUCAUAUUCCAGAACUCCCACCACCUGCAUACAGACAUUCAGCUGCACAAGCCCCCUCCAUGCUACAGUCAACAGGAUCUCCAGGCCACGGCUCAAGCCCAGAUCAUAUCUGGGUGUCCAUCAGCAUGUUACUUCACAUCUCUGUACCUCAGUUUAUUCAUCUUUCAAAUGGAAGCAACAUAUAGAGCUGCCUUAUAGAGUUGCUCUGGGUAUUAGAUGUAUAAUAUAUGUGAACUGCUUGGUACUGGGCCUGGUAUAUGGUAUGUGCUCAAUAAAUGAUAGUUGUUUAUUAUUGUCAUUUAUUAUCAUCAUCAUCAUCAUCAUAAUUAAAUAUUAUUCCAAGCAACAAUGUGUUCCUCAUAGUCCAACAAUAAUUUAAUAAAUGUAACCUUUCCAAAACUCCGAUCUGCAAAUUUUAAAUAAAUAUUUUCAAUUAAAUUAAUC